AGUAAUGUCUGACAGAGACUGUGGUAGAAACUAUUCAGUCUGACUCUUCUCAGAGUGAACACUUGUACAAUGGAUCUUCGCUCAGUUAUUCUGUUCUGUGUCUCAACCGGCGCUGUCUUUGGAAAUGUCAUCAAACCAAACAAAACCAAUGUUUUUGCUGAGGAGGGUUCAAGUGUUACAUUGUCUUGUAGUUUUACUGACUCUAGCACUACAGAUUAUCUCCACUGGUACCGUCAGUAUGGAAGAUCAAAACCUGAAUUUCUUGUACUCACCUACGACACUGAAAAAGAAGCUAAGGUGUCUGAUGCAGAUCCAAGAUUCACUGUUAAUGUGACAAAAAGGGAGCAUGUGGAUCUGGAGAUCUCUUCUGCUGCUGUAUCAGACUCUGCUCUGUACUACUGUGCUCUGGUGCCCACAGUGACAGGAAACACAUCAGCUCUCUACAAAAACCUGUUACAAUAA